rnacentral:rRNA from 1 species
GGCCUUUUGAAUUUAAUAUAAGGUCUGACCUGCCCAGUGAUGAUUUUAACGGCCGCGGUAUACUGACCGUGCAAAGGUAGCAUAAUCAUUAGUCUUUUAAUAGAGGGCUGGAAUGAAAGGUUUCACGAGGAACUGGCUGUCUCAUUUUAUUUGUUUUAAAAUUUAAUUUUUUAGUUAAAAAGCUAAAAUUUUAUUGGUAGACGAGAAGACCCUAUAGAGCUUUACAUAUGAUUAAAUAAAUAUUUUUAUAUUAAUAUUUUUAUUUAUUUUUGUGUUUUGUUGGGGUGACAAAAAUAUAUAACUAACUUUUUUAUUUACUUUACAUUGAUUUAUGAAUAUUAGAUCCAAUCUUAUUGAUUAUUAGACUAAGUUACCUUAGGGAUAACAGCGUAAUCCUCCUCCAGAGUUCAUAUUUACAGGAUGGGCUUGCGACCUCGAUGUUGGAUUAAGAUAAUAAUUGGGUGUAGCCGCUUAAUUGAUAGGUCUGUUCGACCUUUAAAUUCUU